rnacentral:misc_RNA from 1 species
CGUAAGUGCUGAGAAAUAACAGUGUAACCGGAUCGUCCGAUCGCGAAUGUUGUCCGUUUAUUAAUAAUUACUUCAUGUGCGUAUUUUAUGUGUUUCACGUGAAAUGACGCUUGACUUGAAAAAACUCACUCUAUUAGUUUGCUUGAUCGUGGCCAUUAUUUUAGGUGUCACAGGCGUAUAUAAAUACGGACCAAGUAGCCUUGUGGAACAAGAUGCCGCAGUCACCGAAUCCGGACGAUUUGCAGACCCUUCACUUAAAUAUGUUGCCGUGAUAUUUCGUCAUGGGGAUCGAACUCCAGUAUUUAGUUACAAAACAGAUAUCAACGCGAAUGCUUUUCCCGAAGAAAAAGGAGAUUUAACAAAGAAAGGAAAACAGCACAUGUAUCAAAAAGGAAAAUUUUUUCGACGUUUAUACAAUGGAUUCAUAAGUGAUUUGUACUUGGACAGUGAGAUAAUUAUCAAAACUACCAAAAUGAAACGAACAUUCAUGUCAGCAGCAUUGGUUUUAGCUGGAAUGUAUCCUCCAAAAGAUUAUCAAAAAUGGUCGGAAUUGGAAACAGUAUGGCAACCUAUACCGAUUUCCAAUGACUCACCGGAGAACAUAUCACUCUAUGACAGCAAGAAAACAUGUCCAUCACUUUAUAAGGAAGUUCAAAAGGUGUUUCCUAAAUUAAAGAGUCGUGAAAACGAGCCCCAAAUAUCAGAGUUACUCUCAUAUUUGUCGGAAAAAUGUGGAAAACAAAUUACGACUGAAAAUUUACCACUACUAUACGAUCUAUUUUUAAGUCAGAUGGCCAACGGUUUACAACUACCAGAAUGGAUCAAACCUAAUCAUAUUCAAACAAUCGAAUCAAUCGUGUCAUCCAAAGAAAUUUUAAGAUUUAUAUAUCUAAAUAAAAAAAUACAAACAUUGUACAUAGCACCUCUGCUAAAAGAAAUAAGCUUGAACAUGGAAUUACGAUCAAAUGACUCCAACUUGAAAUCAACAAGAAAAAUGCAUCUUUAUUCAGGGCAUGAUAACACCGUAAUGACGGCUUCGGGUUAUCUUCAUAGUGAUAUUAUCGGAUCUGUUUAUUUUGGUGCAUCACUACAUUUUCAUUUAUACUUUGAUAAUACGAAUGGAUAUACUAUAAAGUUAUUCUACUAUGGUCGAUGGGACGAUGAAAAAGGAGAAGAAGUUCCAAUUCCGAGUUGUGGUAAUCCUUGCAAAUUACAAGACUUUACAACAUUUAUAAAUGAAAUUUUCUCCCCAGAAUGGGGAAAAGAAUGUCAGGAUGUAUAAAUUUAAUAACAUACAUUUUGCAUAAUUAUAUACAAAAUAAUGUGUUAUACCAACAAAAUACUUAUAUUGUGUCAUAUGAAAAUUUUCUUAUCUUCCUCGAUUCUAAAAUUGAACUGGAAGAAAUUAAUUAAGCUUGUAAAGCAGACUGGUGUGCAGUGCGUAUUGUGCACGUGCCAAACUCGGUUGAAUGUUUGUAUUACAUAAAGGAAGGUCAAAACCCAAA